UCCGAUUGCUGUUUAGGAAAUGUAUAGA
rnacentral:sRNA from 1 species